GACGAACGCUGGCGGCGUGCUUAACACAUGCAAGUCGAGCGGUAAGGCCCCUUCGGGGGUACACGAGCGGCGGACGGGGGAGUAACACGUAAGCAAUCUGCCCAUCACAUCGGGAUAACUCCGGGAAACCGAAGCUAAUACCGCAUACGACCACCUCCGGCAUCGGAUGGUGGUGGAAAGUUCCUGCGGUGAUGGAUGGGCUCCGGGCCUAUCAGCUUGUUGGUGGGGUACGGGCCAACCACGGCUUCGACGGGUGGCCGGCCUGAGAGGGGGACCGGCCACACUGGGACUGAGACACGGCCCAGACUCCUACGGGAGGCAGCAGUGGGGAAUAUUGGACAAUGGGCGAAAGCCUGAUCCAGCAACGCCGCGUGAGGGAUGACGGCCUUCGGGUUGUAAACCUCUUUCAGCAGGGACGAAGCGGAAGUGACGGUACCUGCAGAAGAAGCACCGGCCAACUACGUG
rnacentral:rRNA from 1 species